GACGAACGCUGGCGGCGUGCUUAACACAUGCAAGUCGAGCGGUAAGGCCCUUUCGGGGGUACACGAGCGGCGAACGGGUGAGUAACACGUGGGUGACCUGCCCUCAGCUCUGGGAUAAGCCUGGGAAACCGGGUCUAAUACCGGAUAUGACUCCAUGACGCAUGUUGUGGGGUGGAAAGCCUUGUGCGGCUGAGGAUGGGCCCGCGGCCUAUCAGCUUGUUGGUGGGGUGAUGGCCUACCAAGGCGACGACGGGUAGCCGGCCUGAGAGGGCGACCGGCCACACUGGGACU
rnacentral:rRNA from 1 species